CUAAAAUUUAAGUGAAAGAAAGAUUACUACACGGUGAAAGGAGAAAGAGGGAUCAAGAAAAAAGAGAGACAGAGAAAUAGGGAGGCAGAGAUAGAGAGACAUCACCGUAAGGGCGCCUUCCGUUUCUCAUAUUCGGAUACUUUCUUUUCGCUUCCUUUUCAAUUUUCUUAACACCGAUGCUUGCGAUCCAGAGAUAGAGAAGGAGGAAAAAAUAAACCUUGCGAUACAGAGAUGAGAAGGAGACAGACAUUGAGAGAACUACCACCGGUUUGGAGAGGGCAAAAACAGAGAAAUAAGAGAGAAGGGGAGAGUUCUCCGUUCCCUCUUUAGACUUAAAGCACCGCUGCAAGCACAUAGGGAAAGAAAAAUCUAUGGGCUAUAUAUUUGUCACCAUCAGAUCGUAGGAACUGGCUCCGGUGAGUGGAAGAAAAGGCAAGUAGAUGUAGAAGCUGUCCAGGGAGCCAAACGUAAGAUAAAGCUUAAGAGAAAAAGCAGCACGACAAGCAUUAGGCCAUUGUGACUGAACAAAUAUGAGGUUAUAAGAGUUGGGAUAGUAGCUUGAUGCUAGAUUAGCAAGUGAGGGAGACAGAGGAGAGUGAAGGAGAGAGAGAGAGAAUAAGAAAGAUAAGAAAAUGCUUUAGAUUACUACACCAACACUGCCCAAUAUAUAUAUUUCUAAAAUCCAUGUGUUUUGAGUAGUUGAUAGGCUAAAUCUAGAAAAUUUAGAGUAUGUUUUAUGGAAUUUCUCAUAGAAGCUUUAUUGUUUUCUAAAAUAAAUUUGUUAUCUGGUGUUUAUUUCCCUAUUUGAUGCAGAAAGCUAAAUAUUAUAAACAAUUAUUCUUUUUUCCUUCUAUAAUGGUUUUAAUCAGAUAAGAAUGAUCUUAUUUUGUAGUUAAUAUUUUCAAUUGUAGAUUAGGAGCUGCAUUCUAAAGAAUUAUGUUCUUCCAUCCUUUAUAAAGACAAACCAUGUCAUCAUUUAUGACAUUAGUAAUAAAAACAAUCAAUUGAUAUUGAAAUUAAUUCAAAUUUUUAUAAAUACUGCCUUACCUUAUGACAAUAGUAAGCUAGAAGUUUAGUUUUUAUUUUAUUUGUAAAUUCUUACAAUCAUGGACCAACAAAAUUAGUGAUUUGCUAUUUGCUCCAAAGUUAACAUCGAUAGUAUUAUUGAUGUGUAGGUGUAGAAAAAAGUUUUAAACACCCCAAAGUGGAUAUGGUAGGCAAGAUUACCAUCAUGCAAUUGCUGCUGAAAAGCUGUCAAACUUAAAUCCUUUUUCAGGAUUGUCCAAUAUAUUUUUGAAGAAAGAAAGUAUAGAAAAGACAAAGACUGGUUGAAUGUCAGAGGAUUCAAGCGAGGUUUGACAUGCAUUGUAAAACAGCUGGUGAUGAUUAGCUCUUUUUUAGUAGGAUUUCUAGAUGUUUCUUGCAUUUAUAAAGCUUGCCAAAGUGGUGAAGGAAAAUUUUUAAUUAUUAAAGUAGGAAGUAGUUUUUGUUAUAAAUGGGUGUUAAUUUUGAAUGGAGUUUCAAUGUAAAGAAGACAUGUUUGUAGUUGGGUAUGACGAUAAUGAUGAUGGUGGUGGCAACAAUGUUCCCUCAUUGAGUAGUUUUUUCAUUUUGUUAUCGCAAUUUUUUACCGAAAGCAUUGUUUUUUACCCUAAAAAAAAUCUGAUUGUGGUUUUUUUUUUUCCUAGCUAGCCUGGAUUCUUUAUCUUAAUACUUACUUACAUAUCAUUCAUGUUGGGCUAGCUGUGUUUGGUUUUUGAAAUACUGGAGUAAUGUAAUGUAAUGUAAUAUUGGAUUGGUUUUGAUUAAGGUAUUUGGGUUAGAAUUCAUUUUGUUUUGGGUUAUUAACCAAAUCCAAGUUAGUUUAGGUUGUAAUGAAGCUGUAAGUGGUGUGUCAGUAUAGACUUUUUUAAUAUUAAAUAAUCACAUAAGAACUAUUAAUUAUUGUUAUUAAAAUUCUAUCAAAUAU